ncrna:unclassified sequences RAGATH-18 RNA
ACUGUGGAGUGUACACGAACUUGUGUGUAGCGUAUAGUGUACAAUCGCCAAAGCANACACAUAGAAGCAGUAA